rnacentral:rRNA from 1 species
CACUCCUACGGGAGGCAGCAGUGGGGAAUAUUGGACAAUGGGCGCAAGCCUGAUCCAGCCAUGCCGCGUGAGUGAUGAAGGCCCUAGGGUUGUAAAGCUCUUUCACCGGUGAAGAUAAUGACGGUAACCGGAGAAGAAGCCCCGGCUAACUUCGUGCCAGCAGCCGCGGUAAUACGAAGGGGGCUAGCGUUGUUCGGAUUUACUGGGCGUAAAGCGCACGUAGGCGGACUAUUAAGUCAGGGGUGAAAUCCCGGGGCUCAACCCCGGAACUGCCUUUGAUACUGGUAGUCUUGAGUUCGAGAGAGGUGAGUGGAAUUCCGAGUGUAGAGGUGAAAUUCGUAGAUAUUCGGAGGAACACCAGUGGCGAAGGCGGCUCACUGGCUCGAUACUGACGCUGAGGUGCGAAAGCGUGGGGAGCAAACAGGAUUAGAAACCCCAGUAGUCCCAU